rnacentral:tRNA from 1 species
GCCUGCCUGGCACAGUUGGUAAGAGCAUGGGACUCUUGAUCCCAGGGUCUUGAGUUUGAGCCCCACGUUGGGUG